CUAAAAUCUGCUCUGGAGUUCAGAAGGUGAUAGGAGCCUGUUUCUGGGAAACAGAAGAGGGUUGGAGAUGUAACUGGGGAGUAUGUCAGUGGCUUGGAAUCAUCAGCCAUGUGCAAAACAAGAAGAUAAAGAAUGAGGCUUUCAUGCUGUUAUUGUUACACCUUGUGUUUGCUGCUGUUCCCACCAGCACCUGGAACAAGCUCAGUUGCCUUUUUCUUUGCUACACCCUGAUACUCAAAGAUGGCAAACAAGCGAAAAGACUGAAGAUGAUAUUGGGUUGAAGAAAUCAAGGUUUACGUUUAAAUGACUCUUUAAAUGACAACUCUUUUCAUACACACUGUGCACGUGGUAGAAGAGAAUUGGCAAGAUCACAUCAUUUGGUCUGAAGUGAAUGAAUGAGGGAGAUCCAGACCUCCAUGGGAAAGCAUCAUGAGUAAACCUUCAGAACGAAGUACUCUGGUUAAAUCAAGUACUAAGGUUUAUGGACGAAAUGCUGAGCAAUGAAAGAAAGUAGAACAAUCAGCCAUACCACAUAGCUUCAUUGUGGAAAGGACAGCUUUCUGUGAUCUUUUCCUUUCUUCAUGCAUGUUCACGCAGCUCAAAAUUCACAACUAAGAAAGUUAGAUAAAGGAAAACUUGAAGGGGUUAAGGCAGCUAUAAAAAGACUAUUCAGCACAUACUGUGCAACUGUGAAUUCCUUUAUGCUAUUUUGUGAUUGAGACAAUGAGAUGUAAACUUUCUUAAUGAACCCAACGCAUAUUUAGACAAAAGAUAAUUAAACUGUUGGUGUAAGCUGCUGCUAUAGAACUCUUUGUUGACUCAGUAGUCUAAGAUGAAAAAUUCUGUACCAUUGUUAUGCUAGAUGUAAGGAAAAGGAAUAAAUACACUGAUACAGUAAUAGGACCCACUGGUAUAGUAUAUCUAGUAAUUCAAUGUCAAUGUUUCUAUAGUCAUGAUUGCAGUGAAUUGUAUCAUGUCCCCCUCAAAAGAUACAGUCUUACCCCUAGUUCUUGUCAGUGUGACUUUAUGUUGAAAUAGGCUAUUUGCAGAUGUAAUCAAGUUAAGAUGAGAUCAUUAAGGUGGGUCUUAAUCCAACAUGACUCACAUCUUUAUAAGAGAAGAGGUACAGAUAGACAUGAAGGAAGAAUAUCAUGUGAUGAGAGAGGCAGAGAUUGGAGUGAUGUGUCUACAAGCAAGAAAUGCAAACAUUCUGGCAACACCAGAAGCUAAAAGAAAGGCAAACGAUGAAUUCUCCCCUAAGGCAUAUAGAGAGAGCAUGUCCAUGCCAAAACUUUGAUUUCAGCAUUCAAGCCUUCAGAACUGUGGGAAAAUAUAUUUCUGUUGUUUUAAGUUUUUUGGUUUGUGUACCUUGUUAGACACAUUAGGCAAUGUGGAAACCAGACUAAUGAACUCAAAUCCAAAAUAGAACACAAAGAAAAUAUAAUAAUAAAAAGCAUGAAUGAAGUAGAAGAGGAAGAGAAGGAGGAGGAAGAAGGAGGAGGGAGUAAGAGUGAUCUGUGGUAUGACGUCAAGUGAACAAAUAUAUGUGCAGAUGGGCUCAUGAAAGAGCAAAGAGGGAGGGAUAGAUCCUUAAUCCUAACAAUGACUUCAGUUCUGGGUCAGUGUUGAUGGCAUAGUUUAUGUUUUCUUAUGGGCUGUAUUUUCCUGCUUCAUUUUGUAGUUC